AUGGCCAGGCGCUGAGCACUGGAGCGAGAGAAAAAGAGAAAGAGAGAGAGAAGAGGAAGACAGGAUGAGAAAGAGAUAAGGGAGGGAUCGAGGAGAGACCACGGUUGGUUAUCUCACAGAUGCAUCUAUGGACCCAGCACUUGGAGACUUAACCGAGAGAUAGGCACUUAACACAUCCACAAUGUAGGACUGAAGAAACAUUAUUGGAGACAGCACAUGGAGACUUGCAAGAUGAUGUUGGAAGUCCAGACUGACAGACGGGCUUGAUACUGAUGUCUCUAAAUGGAGAGAGACCUGCCACUCGGCAUGACAAUUUUACUAAUAAUCAAUUAUUAAAUUGAUUAUUGAA